UACAGAGGGGGCUAGCGUUGUUCGGAAUCACUGGGUGUAAAGGGUGCGUAGGCUGUCCGUUAAGUCUGAUGUGAAAGCCCUGGGCUCAACUCAGGAAUUGCAUUGGAAACUGGCGGACUCAGAGUACCGGAGAGGGAAGCGGAAUUCCUGGUGUAGCGGUGAAAUGCGCAGAUAUCGGGAGGAACACCAGUGGCGAAGGCGGCACUCUGGGCCGGUACUGACGCUGAGGAGCGAAAGCGUGGGGAGCGAACAGG
rnacentral:rRNA from 1 species